rnacentral:sRNA from 1 species
UAGCUAAAAAAUCAUCCUUUAUAAGAGC